rnacentral:tRNA from 1 species
GGGGAUGUAGCUCAGUGGUAGAGCACUUGCCUAGCAUGCAGAAUGCCCUAAUUUUGAUCCUCAACACCCCCA